rnacentral:rRNA from 1 species
AGAGUUUGAUCCUGGCUCAGGAUGAACGCUGGCGGCGUGCCUAAUACAUGCAAGUCGAACGAGGUGCUUUUGUAGCAAUACGAGAGUAUCCUAGUGGCGAACGGGUGAGUAACGCGUUGGUGACCUACCCCAAAGUGUGGGAUAACAGUCCGAAAGGACUGCUAAUACCGCAUGUGGUCGUUGGAUUUAGAAACUGAUGACUAAAGGAGCAAUUCGCUUUGGGAGGGACCUGCGUCCCAUCAGCUAGUUGGUGAGGUAACGGCUCACCAAGGCGACGACGGGUAGGGGACCUGAGAGGGUGGCCCCCCACAAUGGAACUGAAACACGGUCCAUACACCUACGGGUGGCAGCAGUAGGGAAUAUUGCACAAUGGGCGAAAGCCUGAUGCAGCAACGCCGCGUGUGUGAUGAAGGCCUUCGGGUCGUAAAGCACUUUUCUGGGAGAUGAGAAAGGACAGUAUCCCAGGAAUAAGUCUCGGCUAACUACGUGCCAGCCGCCGCGGUAAUAC